rnacentral:rRNA from 1 species
GAAAGUAAAGAAGGGCGCAUGGCGGAUGCCUUGGCUCUCGGAGGCGAUGAAGGACGUGAUAAGCUGCGAUAAGCUUUGGGGAGGUGCAAAUGACCUUUGAUCCAGAGAUUUCCGAAUGGGACAACCCAAUAUCUUGAAGAGGUAUUAUCCAACGUUGUUGGAGGCUAACGCAGGGAACUGAAACAUCUUAGUACCUGCAGGAAAAGAAAAUAAACAAUGAUUCCCCCAGUAGUGGCGAGCGAACGGGGAACAGCCCAAACCAUCCAUGUUACGGCAUGGGUGGGGUUGUAGGACUACGCCGUUGCAUGAAGACAUCAGAGAAGAACUUUCUGGAAAGAAAGACCAUAGAGCAUGACAGUUGCGUAUUCGAAUGUUGUCGAAGCAUAGUAGUAUCCUGAGUAGCGCGGAGCACGAGGAAUUCUGCGUGAAUCUGCCGGGACCAUCCGGUAAGGCUAAAUACUCCCGAGAGACCGAUAGCGAACCAGUACCGUGAGGGAAAGGUGAAAAGCACUUCGAACAGAAGAGUGAAAUAGUUCCUGAAACCGUGCGCCUACAAGCGGUCGGAGCUCGUUAAUGAGUGACGGCGUGCCUUUUGCAUAAUGAACCUACGAGUUGCCUUUGCCGGCAAGGUUAAGUGUGACGACACACGUAUCCGAAGCGAAAGCGAGUCUGAACAGGGCGUAUAGUCGGCAGUGGCAGACGCGAAACCAAGUGAUCUACCCUUGGCCAGGUUGAAGGCUGGGUAACACCAGCUGGAGGACCGCACCAAUAAGCGUUGAAAAGCUUCUGGAUGAGCUGAGGGUAGGGGUGAAAGGCUAAUCAAACUUGGAGAUAGCUCGUACUCCCCGAAAUGCAUUUAGGUGCAGCCUUGCGGGUUACUGAUGUGAGGUAGAGCGACUGAUAAGAUGCGAGGGCUUCACCGCCUAUCAAGUCUUGACAAACUCCGAAUGCGCAUCAGUUCUACCGCAGGAGUGAGGGCAUGGGUGCUAAGGUCCGUGCCCGAGAGGAGAAGAAUCCGGACCACCUGCUAAGGUCCCGAAAUGACAGCUAAGUUAAACUAACGAAGUCUGACUGCUAAGACAGCUAGGAUGUUGGCUUGGAAGCAGCCAUUCAUUUAAAGAGUGCGUAACAGCUCACUAGUCGAGGAGUCGGGCGUGGAUAAUAAUCGGGUAUCAAGUUGUCUACCGAAGCAGUGGGAUCAUUUAUAUGAUCGGUAGGGGAGCAUUCCAGUCAGCGUCGAAGGCGUACCGUGAGGUAUUCUGGAGCGUCUGGAAAAGCAAAUGUAGGUAUAAGUAACGAUAAAGGGGGCGGGAAACCCCCUCGCCGAAAGACUAAGGUUUCCUGAUCAACGCUAAUCGGAUCAGGGUCAGUCGGGUCCUAAGGCUCAGCCGAACGGCGAUGCCGAUGGCAGAAACGGUUAAUAUUCCGUUACUACCUUCAGGAGUGACGUGGAGACGCAGUAGUGACAGUGCCGCCAUCUGACGGAAUAGAUGGUUGAAGGGUGUAGGAGUCGAUCAUGGCAGGCAAAUCCACCAUGAGAUCCGAACCUGAGAGUAUGCCGCGUCCUUCGGGACAAGGCAAUAGUGCGCGUAAGCAUGCUGCCGAGAAAAUCCGCUAAACUUAAUCCUGCAGGUACCCGUACCGCAAACGGACACACGUAGUCGGGAUGAAUAUUCUAAGGCGCUUGAGUGAUUCACGGUUAAGGAACUAGGCAAACUGACCCUGUAACUUCGGGAUAAAGGGUCCCUACCCUUUUAUGGGAGGGCGCAGAGAAUCGGUCCAGGCAACUGUUUAACAAAAACACAGGGCUGUGCCAAAUCGAAAGAUCCAGUAUACAGCCUGACACCUGCCCGGUGCUGGAAGGUUAAGAGGAGAUGUCAUCGAUGAGAGAAGCGUUGAAUUGAAGCCCCAGUAAACGGCGGCCGUAACUAUAACGGUCCUAAGGUAGCGAAAUUCCUUGUCG